rnacentral:rRNA from 1 species
GGAGGUCCGAACCCACGAGCGUUGAAAAGCUCGGGGAUGACUUGUGGGUAGCGGUGAAAUUCCAAUCGAGCCCGGAGAUAGCUGGUUCUCCCCGAAAUAGCUUUAGGGCUAGCCUCAAGGUGAGAGAUACGGAGGUAGAGCACUGAAUGUCCUAGGGGGUAUUGCACCUACCGAAGACUAUCAAACUCCGAAUGCCGUCAUCUUAUACUUGGGAGUCAGACUGUGGGUGAUAAGAUUCAUAGUCGAAAGGGCAACAGCCCAGAUCGUCAGCUAAGGUCCCUAAAUGUAAGUUAAGUGGUAAAGGAUGUGGGAUUGCACAGACAACCAGGAUGUUGGCUUAGAAGCAGCCACUCAUUCAAAGAGUGCGUAAUAGCUCACUGGUCGAGUGAUCCUGCGCCGAAGAUUUCCGGGGCUAAAACUUACUACCGAAGCUACGGCAUCAGUAAUGAUGGGUAGGGGAGCUUCCCAUACGGGUUGAAGCAUGACCGUAAGGACAUGUGGACAGUAUGGGAGUGAGAAUGUUGGCAUGAGUAGCGAGAUGUGGGUGAGAAUCCCACAGGCCGUAAACCCAAGGUUUCCAGGGGAAGGUUCGUCCGCCCUGGGUUAGUCGGGACCUAAGCUGAGGCCGAAAGGCGUAGGUGAUGGACAACAGGUUGAUAUUCCUGUACUACCGAUAACCGUUUGAGAGAUGGGAUGACACAGUAGGAUAAGCUAAGCACACUGUUGGUUAUGUGUGCCCAAGCAUUGAGGCAGUCAAAGUAGGCAAAUCCGCUUUGAUAAUGCUGGGCUGUGAUGGGGAGCGAAAUUUAGUAGCGAAGUAGCUGAUUUCACACUGUCAAGAAAAGUCUCUAUCGAGGUUAAAGGUACCCGUACCGCAAACCGACACAGGUGGGUGAGGAGAGUAUCCUAAGGCCAGCGAGAGAACUGUUGUUAAGGAACUCGGCAAAAUGACCCCGUAACUUAGGGAUAAGGGGUGCCACCAUCAGGUGGCCGCAGAGAAUAGGCCCAAGCGACUGUUUACCAAAAACAUAGGUUUCUGCUAAGUCGCAAGACGAUGUAUAGGAGCUGACGCCUGCCCGGUGCUGGAAGGUUAAGGGGAUCUGUUAGAGCAAUCGAAGCAGUGAACUUAAGCCCCAGUAAACGGCGGCCGUAACUAUAACGGUCCUAAGGUAGCGAAAUUCCUUGUCGGGUAAGUUCCGACCCGCACGAAAGGCGUAACGAUUUGGGCACUGUCUCA